AAACUCCUACGGGAGGCAGCAGUAGGGAAUUUUCGUCAAUGGGGGGAACCCUGAACGAGCAAUGCCGCGUGAGUGAAGAAGGUCUUCGGAUCGUAAAGCUCUGUUGUAAGAGAAAAACGGACUCCAUAGGGAAUGAUGGAGGAGUGAUGGUAUCUUACCAGAAAGCCACGGCUAACUACGUGCCAGCAGCCGCGGUAAUACGUAGGUGGCGAGCGUUAUCCGGAAUCAUUGGGCGUAAAGGGUGCGUAGGUGGCACGAUAAGUCUGUAGUAAAAGGCAGCGGCUCAACCGCUGUUGGCUAUGGAAACUGUCGAGCUGGAGUGCAGAAGAGGGCGAUGGAAUUCCAUGUGUAGCGGUAAAAUGCGUAGAUAUAUGGAGGAACACCAGUGGCGAAGGCGACGGUCUGGCCUGCAACUGACGCUCAUUCCCGAAAGCGUGGGGAGCAAAUAGGAUUAGAUACCCUAGUAGUCCACGCCGUAAACGAUGAGAACUAAGUGUUGGGGAAACUCAGUGCUGCAGUUAACGCAAUAAGUUCUCCGCCUGGGGAGUAUGCACGCAAGUGUGAAACUCAAAGGAAUUGACGGGGGCCCGCACAAGCGGUGGAGUAUGUGGUUUAAUUCGAAGCAACGCGAAGAACCUUACCAGGCCUUGACAUGGAGAUAAAGGCCCUGGAGACAGGGAGAUAGAUAUAUCUCACACAGGUGGUGCAUGGUUGUCGUCAGCUCGUGUCGUGAGAUGUUGGGUUAAGUCCCGCAACGAGCGCAACCCUUGUUUCAUGUUACCAAUAUUGAGUUAGGGACUCAUGAGAGACUGCCGGUGACAAACCGGAGGAAGGUGGGGAUGACGUCAAAUCAUCAUGCCCCUUAUGGCCUGGGCUACACACGUACUACAAUGGCGGUUAACAAAGGGCAGCGACCCUGUGAGGGGGAGCGAAUCCCGGAAAGACCGUCUCA
rnacentral:rRNA from 1 species